GAUGAACGCUAGCGGGAGGCCUAACACAUGCAAGCCGAGCGGUAUUGUUUCCUCCGAAAUGAGAGAGCGGCGUACAGGUGCGGAACACCUGUGCAACCUGCCUUUAUCUGGGGGAUAGCCUUUCAGGAAGGAAGAAUAAUACUCCAUAACAUAUUGAUUGGGAUCAAUUAAUAUUGAAAGCUCCGGCGGAUAAAGAUGGGCACUCCCCACAUUACCUAGAUGGUGAGGCAACGGCUCACCAAGGCGAUGAUCUUUAGGGGGCCUGAGAGGGUGAUCCCCCACACUGGUACUGAGACACGGACCACCACUCCUACGGGAGGCAGCAGUGAGGAAUAUUGGUCAAUGGGUGCAAGCCUGAACCAGCCAUCCCACGUGAAGGACGACUGCCCUAUGGGUUGUAAACUUCUUUUGUGUACGGAUAAACCUACCCUCGUGAGGGUAGCUGAAGGUACUAUACGAAUAACCACCGGCUAACUCCGUGCCAUCAGCCGCGGUAAUACAGACGGCGCAAGCGUUAUCCAGAUUUAUUGCGAUUAAAGGGACCGCAUGCAGACUUAUCACUCAGUGGUGAAAGCCUGUCGCUUAACGAUAAAACUGCCAUUGAUACUGGAACUCUAGACUAGAUUUGACGUAUCUGGAAUAAGUAGUGUAGCGAGAAAAUGCAUAGACAUCACUUAGCACACCGAUUGCGAAGGCAGGUUACCAAGAUAUAACUGACGCUGAUGUACGAAAGCGUGGGGAGCGAACAGGAUUAGAUCCCGUGGUAGUCCACGCCGUAAGCGAUGCUAACUCGUUUUUGGGCCUUAGGGCUCAGAGACCAAGCGAAAGUGAUAAGUUAGCCACCUGGGGAGUACGCUCGCAAGAGUGAAACUCAAAGGAAUUGACGGGGGCCCGCACAAGCGGUGGAUUAUGUGGUUUAAUUCGAUGAUACGCGAGGAACCUUACCAAGACUUAAAUGGGAAUUUACAGCUUUAGAAAUAGAGCUUUCUUCGGACAAUUUCCUAAGGUGAUGCAUGGUUGUCGUCAGCUCGUGCCGUGAGGUGUUAGGUUAAGUCUUGCAACGAGCGCAACCCCCGUCUCUAGUUGCCAUCAUUCAGUUGGGGACUGCUAGUGCGUACCGCCUACGCAAGUAGAGAGGAAGGUGGGGAUGAUGUCAAAUCAUCACGGCCCUUACGUCGUGGGCCACACACGUAAUACAAUGGCCGGUACAGAGGGCAGCUCCACAGCGAUGUGAUGCAAAUCUCGAAACCCGGUCUCAGUUCGGAUCGGAGUCUCCAACUAGUCUCCAUGCAGCCGGAAUCGUUAGUAAUCGCGCAUCAGCCAUGGCGCGGUGAAAAAGUUCCCGGCCCU
rnacentral:rRNA from 1 species